rnacentral:lncRNA from 1 species
ACAAGUUAGGUUGUAAGUGGACACAACUAAGGGAUGAAACUGGGACACAACUUACUGAAGAACUUACUCAAGCUACUCAAGCUACUCCACAAUCUGGAGGUGCCCCAAGGCCUAAUAAGCUGGGGGUAAGCUUUUUUAAAACCAACUUUUAAAACCAAUUUUUAAUAUUUAUUUGUAUAUUAUUUCACAUGUGGUUCUAUUCUACAGGUGAAAAGGAAAGAAAGGGGCCAAGGAAAGAAUUCUGGAUUUGGAAAUCAAACUGGGCAAAAAGAAGUAAGGAAUUGUAUAUUAUUUCAAUGCUUGUUGGCAGCUAAGCACUAAUUGGUUUUUUCAAUGUAGGUAAGGAAAAGCCCAAGACUAGCAACAAGUGAGACUGGAGCAGGUGCAGGGGAAGGGCAGCAAAGGGACC